rnacentral:rRNA from 1 species
CCCAGACUCCUACGGGAGGCAGCAGUGGGGAAUAUUGGGCAAUGGACGCAAGUCUGACCCAGCGACGCCGCGUGCGGGAUGAAGGCCUUCGGGUUGUAAACCGCUUUCAGCAGGGAAGAAGCGAAAGUGACGGUACCUGCAAAAGAAGCACCGGCUAACUAUGUGCCAGCAGCCGCGGUAAUACAUAGGGUGCAAGCGUUGUCCGGAAUUAUUGGGCGUAAAGAGCUCGUAGGUGGUUAGUUACGUCGGGUGUGAAACUCUGGGGCUCAACCCCAGACCUGCACUCGAUACGGGCUAGCUAGAGUUUGGUAGGGGAGAC